rnacentral:rRNA from 1 species
ACGCUCGACACCUACGGGAGGCCGCAGUGGGGAAUAUUGGGCAAUGGGCGAAAGCCUGACCCAGCAACGCCGCGUGAGGGAAGAAGGUUUUCGGAUUGUAAACCUCUGUCCUCAGGGACGAAGGACGUGACGGUACCUGAGGAGGAAGCCCCCGGCUAACUACGUGCCGGCAGCCGCGGUAAUCUGAGCGGGCUGGCAAGGC